rnacentral:rRNA from 1 species
AGCUCCAAUGGUGUAUGCUAACAUUGUUGCAGUUAAAAAGCUCGUAGUCGAAUUUUUAAGGGAAUCAAUUUUAUGUGGUCUUAAUGAACUGCAAAGGAAUAUGAUUUAUCUUAUUUUAUGCUUUUGCACCGUUGGAAUUCGUUUUCUGAUAGUGGAGUAAGUUUGUGUUUACUUUGAGAAAAUUAGAGUGUUCAAAGCAGUCUUACGGCUUUAUAUUAAAGCAUGGAAUGAUAAAUAAUGACAUCGGUUAAUUUUUGUUGGUUUGAGAGGCUGAUGUAAUGAUUUAUAGAGUUAGUCGGAGGUAUUAGUAUUUUGUCGUUAGAGGUGAAAUUCCGGGAUCGACAAAAGACUAACAACUGCGAAAGCAUUUGCCUAGAAUUUGCUCC